UGCAGUCGAGCGGAUGACAGGGAGCUUGCUCCUUGAUUCAGCGGCGGACGGGUGAGUAAUACCUAGGAAUCUGCCUGGUAGUGGGGGACAACGUUUCGAAAGGAACGCUAAUACCGCAUACGUCCUACGGGAGAAAGCAGGGGACCUUCGGGCCUUGCGCUAUCAGAUGAGCCUAGGUCGGAUUAGCUAGUUGGUGAGGUAAUGGCUCACCAAGGCUACGAUCCGUAACUGGUCUGAGAGGAUGAUCAGUCACACUGGAACUGAGACACGGUCCAGACUCCUACGGGAGGCAGCAGUGGGGAAUAUUGGACAAUGGGCGAAAGCCUGAUCCAGCCAUGCCGCGUGUGUGAAGAAGGUCUUCGGAUUGUAAAGCACUUUAAGUUGGGAGGAAGGGCAUUAACCUAAUACGUUAGUGUUUUGACGUUACCGACAGAAUAAGCACCGGCUAACUCUGUGCCAGCAGCCGCGGUAAUACAGAGGGUGCAAGCGUUAAUCGGAAUUACUGGGCGUAAAGCGCGCGUAGGUGGUUCGUUAAGUUGGAUGUGAAAUCCCCGGGCUCAACCUGGGAACUGCAUCCAAAACUGGCGAGCUAGAGUAGGGCAGAGGGUGGUGGAAUUUCCUGUGUAGCGCUGAAAUGCGUAGAUAUAGGAAGGAACACCGGUGGCGAAGGCGACCACCUGGGGUCAUACUGACACUGAGGUGCGAAAGCGUGGGGGAGCAGACAGGAGUAGAUACCCUGGUAGUCCGCGCCGUAAACGAUGUCAACUAGCCGGUGGGAGCCCUGGAGAUUUUAGUGGCGGCACCUAACGCAUUAAGUUGACCGCCUG
rnacentral:rRNA from 1 species